UACGUAGGUGGCAAGCGUUGUCCGGAUUUAUUGGGUUUAAAGGGUGCGUAGGCGGCCAAUUAAGUCAGUGCUGAAAUGCUCUAGCUUAACUAGAGGGGUGGCAUUGAUACUGAUUGGCUUGAGUGAAGUCGAGGUAGGCGGAAUUGACGGUGUAGCGGUGAAAUGCUUAGAUAUCGUCAAGAACACCGAUAGUGAAGACAGCUUACUAGACUUCAACUGACGCUGAGGCAUGAAAGUGUGGGGAUCAAACAGG
rnacentral:rRNA from 1 species